rnacentral:rRNA from 1 species
GAGUUUGAUCCUGGCUCAGGACGAACGCUGGCGGCGUGGAUAAGGCAUGCAAGUCGAACGCGAACGGAACAACUAAUUCGUUAGGAGUUCUUAGUAGAGUGGCGAACGGGUGAGUAACGCGUGAACAACAUACCUCUCAGAGGGGAAUAACACAGGGAAACUUGUGCUAAUACCGCAUAUAUCAACUUAAUUAUUUUAUAUUGAUGAAAGGUGGGGACCUUCGGGCCUGCCACUGAGAGAUUGGUUCGCGUCCCAUUAGCUUGUUGGUGAGGUAACGGCUCACCAAGGCGACGAUGGGUAGCCGGCCUGAGAGGGCGACCGGCCACACUGGGAUUGAGAUACGGCCCAGACUCCUUCGGGAGGCAGCAGUCGAGAAUCUUCCACAAUGGACGAAAGUCUGAUGGAGCGACGCCGUGUGAGGGAUUAAGGCUUUCUGAGUCGUAAACCUCUGUCAGAAGGGAAGAACAGUCAUUGUAUUAAUAGUACAUAGACCUGACGUUACCUUCAGAGGAAGCUCCGGCUAACUCCGUGCCAGCAGCCGCGGUAAUACGGGGGGAGCAAGCGUUGUCCGGAAUCAUUGGGCGUAAAGGGCACGUAGGUGGCUUUGUAAGUCGAAUGUGAAAUCUCACGGCUCAACCGUGAAACUGCGUUCGAAACUACAUAACUUGAGUUCGGGAGAGGUGUACGGAAUUCCUGGUGUAGCGGUGGAAUGCGUAGAUAUCAGGAAGAACACCAAUGGCGAAGGCAGUACACUGGCCUAUAACUGACACUGAGGUGCG